AUAAUAAUAACACAACCACCUAAAUAAUAAUAAUGAUUGUUUCCCGUGAUAAAUCGUUCGUCGUUAUCAGGGUCAGGCCGCAGCCCGCAGUGUCCGUGCUCCGUAGAUCGCGUGAGUUGGCCCGAGCUUCGUCGUCGUCCGUGUUAUUAUUUCUGAGCAUUAUCAGCGUCGUUGUUUUUCAUUUUUGAUUUUAAAUUUUAAUAUUAUAAUGGGGUUUGAAAAGGUAUAAUAAUAUGAUCGUAUUAUUAUUCGUUGGAUCGCAAUAAUCGUAUCCGUUCGGCCGCCUACGUCCGUCCUCUACGAUUCGGUGAUCUGACGUUUUAAAUACACACGUAUUGUAGUCAAUUUACAACAGUCCGCAGAGUUGCACCAGGGACCACCUACACAUGCGUAAUAAUAUACUAUGGCACCGAUCCGUUUGUACAAAAUAAUCGAAUAAAAUUUUGUAAUGAACACAUUAUCGGAGUCUGAUGUCAUUGAAAAAUCUCUCCAUGUUCCUGAAAUUACCCAAAUGGCUAAUGAUAAUGAAUUAAUAUUAUCACCAAAAAAACAUCUGGUUUGCUUUGCUACUGUCAAAGGGGAUUGUUUGGUGACAAAAAACGGUGCAUCGUAUGCUGGGAUUAAGGAGUGUCUGCUCAGUGAUCGAAUGGUUGAUAAAAACGAACCAAUUGAAAUUCAAAUUACAGAUUCUGCAAUUCCUGACACUGAUAUCGAUAGUGGAAUGGAAUCUUCAGCAUCUAGCUGGGAUCGAUCAGUUAAUGAAGUAAAAGAACAUGCAUUUGCUAGGCUUGAGGAAGAAUUAAAAAAAGCGAAUGAAACAUUAAAACUUAGAGAUGAAGAAGUAUCACGUUUAAGUAGAAUACGUGCUGAUGUCGAAUCAGAAUUAGAAGAAUUGACUGCUAGUCUAUUUCAAGAAGCUCAUAAUAUGGUGAAAGAAGCAAAUUUACGCCAGGCGGCUGCAACCAGAGCAUUAAAAGAAUCUUCAAUGAAAGUUGAUGUUUUAUCUGCUGAGGUGACAGCAUUAAAAACCCUUGUACUAACUUCUACACCAAGUCACCCUAAUUUAUCAAGAGAAGACAGCAUUUCGAUGCCAGGAGGACUAAGUGGAGUUGGACUAUUUUAUCGUAAACAUAAGAGAUCUCCCUCGCACAAUAACCUAAAGUACGGCCGAGAAAAUUCGCCACCGGAUUCUCCGCUAAAACAAAAGUCUAAUCAAUCCGAAACAGACACAGACAUUUUAGACAUAUCGAAUAGUGCUGAGGUUGAUCCAAAUGUGCAUCGUGAAUUUGUUCUUUGGAUGAAAUCUCCUACUUUAGACAAAUCAGAUGCCUUUAUAAGUCGAAUAUACAGAGAAGAUAUCGAUCAAUGUCUAGAGUUUAAUAAUUCAACUUUGGCAAUGGAUGUUAGAAAUGCAAUUGAAUGUGGGAAUCUUUUUAUUGAGUCUAUGGACAAGUCAAAAUCUCAUUUUCCAAAAAAAUGCGCUCUAAUGGAACUGCCAUUGCUGUGUCUCUAUAGAAUGAAUUUAGGAGGAGCAGAUAGCGAAUGCUAUUGCAUUUCACAAAUUUGUCGAAAUAGAAUUACUGCGGUAUGUGAUUUCCUCAACUACCUCAGAUACAUUCAAAGGGGCUUGGUCAAAAGUCUAGGUAAAUUGUAUACAUCAAAUUAGAAGGCGUCAAGUUAUGUUUGACCGCAAGAUUAUUAUUUACCAUUUUAAGUUACAAUAUUAGUGUCAAGAUGGAUAAUCAGAUUUAAUGGAAUCCAUGUGAACAUCGUUUGACAAAAUAGUAAAAACUAAAUUUCUAAUAAAAUAAUGUAUAUUAAAUUAUACACCUCGAACACUAAUUACAAUGGAACAUAAUACAAUUCAUAACAAACAAGCAUACACAUAUAUCUAUAAUAUAAGUAAUAUUUAUAAUUAUUUCUACUUAUGGAUUAAAAAUAAUUUAUUAUAUUCUCACGUAGAAGUACUGUAGUCAAACAAAAACAGUAGACUUAAUAACUUAAUAAUAAAUUAUAAUGUACUACAUACGUCGUACAUAUUAUUAAGUUUUAAAAAGUACAUUCUGUUAGAAUGAUACAUUUUCCAAUAAUUGGAAAUAGUAAUUGUAUAUCAUAGCGUUUAACUUCACAAAAUUGCAUCUAAUAAAAAUGGCAAUUACACAAGUUCAUCGGCUUUUAUUAUUGACACAUUUGAUAUUUUUUUUGCUUAAAGCUGAACACAUGUACAUUUAUAUUUUACAUUGGCACAUUGCUUUGAAUUACUUAAACAUAUUUUAGGUUCUGAGCAUAGUAGGGACCUCUAUUGUUUUUUUAAUAAAUUGUGCAUUUUUAUUCAUUGCAGUAAAAUCUGUACAAUUACAUUUAACCUUAUUAAUAAUUAGAAAUUGAACACAAUCAGGAAUUUGUAUCUUUUCUAAUUAUACUUUUUUAAUACCACAGAUAAAAUUGUAUCUGUUAGUAUAGUACAAUCUGCAGUAACUCCCUCGCAGCCACGCUUCGCUCAGAAUCUGAAAUUAAAACAAUUAAUCUUGGAAGAAUAUGAUUAGGUACUCAAAAAAAUAUCAGAAUAGAAUUUGUCGUUAGUCCGUAUGAUAUUGUAUCCUACACUCAUUUAUCAAAUGACUUUACGCUUUUCUCAUUUUGUAACCAAACUUAAACAAGGAGUUAAACGUCGUAGGUUCGUUAAUAUUACGAAAAUUACAAUGAAAGCGUUUUAUGUGUUAUAUUUCAAUAGUACACCUCGUUAAUUUUGUUUUAAAUAAAAGUUAUUAUUAGGUAGUAUCGAUUUAUUGUUAACUUCAAUCGGUUAUAAGUUUUAGCCAUAUAGACAAAGAACACUUAUACACACCUUAUCUAGUUAAUUUGGUUACGUCUAUCUAAUUUGCAUAGUGAGGUUAUAAAAUGAGAAAUGAGGAGGCGGUUUCGAUAAAAGCUUGUUUGUUUUCGACGGAUAGGUAUAACACGACAUGUUGGACUAACACCCAUUGAUCCAUUUAAGUAAUUAAUUAAUUUGUAAUGUAUAAUUAGACGAACCACGGACACGUAAUUUAACGGGAUGAGCACCAAGCUUGUUUAAAUUAAAAACUUCAAAGCAACGCGAAAGUUAUUUUUAGUAAUGAGUAAUAAUCGCUAAUUGAAAACGAUAUGUACUGGGAAAUCGUAAGACUGCGAAAACAAAUGAUGUUGGCUAAGUUGGGUCUAGCUUUGACAUCGUAAUAUUGCUAAUGUAAGGUAUUAAAAAAAAAAAAUGGAAGCUACUAAAAAAAAUAGAAAACUAUAAUAUGGUAAUAUUGUAGUAACGUUGUCAAACGGAUAAAUAAUACAGAUGUUACGUGUAAUUUUUGUGAUCAUAUCUUGUGAUUUUUUUUUAGAUUUUUUUCGUAUAGUAAGUAUGUACAUUGUACAUAUAUUUUAAGUAUAAUUUAAGUCCGAUGAUAUUGUGGACCGAAAGCGCAAGGCCCCUAAAACGUACGCUGAUGAAUCUUUACGUAAUUACGUCUUAUAAUGAAAUAUCUAAAACAACAAUAACUGCCGGAUAAAUGUUUAGAUAUUUUAAAGCUUCCCUGGCCACAACCCACCUAUCUACUUAGUUUUUAUAUUUUUACUUAUCUUUGUGCAACUAAACAUUUUAAUCGAUAAGUGAUAAAAAAUUAUACCUAUACCAUAAUUUUACUUAGGUAGGUACACGCAAUUGUCUUGCCAAUUGAUGUGAAUGUGAUUUAAUAUUGUAAUAUACAUAUAAGGCAGUUAAUAUUUAUAUUACCUAUGGAACAAAAUAUAGUUUAUAAUUGUUUACGAAAGAUCUGAAAUGGUGAGAUAUAUAUUUUAUAUUUUUGUUUUUUUUUACAUAUAUAUAUAUAUAUUUUUAUGUAUUAAUUUGUAUACUUCGACAGUAUAUUGAUAUAAUUUGUGUGUAAAACAUCAUAAAUAUACAAUAUACUUCGAAUAAUAAAUAAUAAUAAUAAAAAUA